rnacentral:rRNA from 1 species
GACGUAGGGUGCGAGCGUUGUCCGGAUUUAUUGGGCGUAAAGAGCUCGUAGGCGGCUCGUCGCGUCGACCGUGAAAAACCCGCGGCUUAACUGCGGGCUUGCGGUUGAUACGGGCGGGCUAGAGUUCGGUAGGGGAGACUGGAAUUCCUGGUGUAGCGGUGAAAUGCGCAGAUAUCAGGAGGAACACCCGUAGCGAAGGCGGCCGACUGGACCACACCUGACGCUGAGGCGCGAAGGCCAGGGGAGCGAACGGG